UACGAAGGGAGCUAGCGUUGCUCGGAUUUACUGGGCGUAAAGCGCACGUAGGCGGCUUGAUAAGUCGGAGGUGAAAGCCUGGGGCUCAACUCCAGAAUUGCCUUUGAAACGGGGACGCUUGAGUCCGAGAGAGGAUGGCGGAAUUCCUAGUGUAGAGGCGAAAUUCGUAGAUAUUAGGAAGAACACCAGUGGCGAAGGCGGCCAUCUGGCUCGGUACUGACGCUCAGGUUCGAAAGCGUGGGGAGCAAACAGG
rnacentral:rRNA from 1 species